GAUCAUGGCUCAGAUUGAACGCUGGCGGCAGGCCUAACACAUGCAAGUCGAACGGUAGCACAGAGAGCUUGCUCUCGGGUGACGAGUGGCGGACGGGUGAGUAAUGUCUGGGAAACUGCCUGAUGGAGGGGGAUAACUACUGGAAACGGUGGCUAAUACCGCAUAACGUCGCAAGACCAAAGAGGGGGACCUUCGGGCCUCUUGCCAUCAGAUGUGCCCAGAUGGGAUUAGCUUGUUGGUGAGGUAACGGCUCACCAAGGCGACGAUCCCUAGCUGGUCUGAGAGGAUGACCAGCCACACUGGAACUGAGACACGGUCCAGACUCCUACGGGAGGCAGCAGUGGGGAAUAUUGCACAAUGGGCGCAAGCCUGAUGCAGCCAUGCCGCGUGUAUGAAGAAGGCCUUCGGGUUGUAAAGUACUUUCAGCGGGGAGGAAGGUGUUGUGGUUAAUAACCGCAGCAAUUGACGUUACCCGCAGAAGAAGCACCGGCUAACUCCGUGCCAGCAGCCGCGGUAAUACGGAGGGUGCAAGCGUUAAUCGGAAUUACUGGGCGUAAAGCGCACGCAGGCGGUCUGUCAAGUCGGAUGUGAAAUCCCCGGGCUCAACCUGGGAACUGCAUUCGAAACUGGCAGGCUUGAGUCUUGUAGAGGGGGGUAGAAUUCCAGGUGUAGCGGUGAAAUGCGUAGAGAUCUGGAGGAAUACCGGUGGCGAAGGCGGCCCCCUGGACAAAGACUGACGCUCAGGUGCGAAAGCGUGGGGAGCAAACAGGAUUAGAUACCCUGGUAGUCCACGCCGUAAACGAUGUCUACUUGGAGGUUGUGCCCUUGAGGCGUGGCUUCCGGAGCUAACGCGUUAAGUAGACCGCCUGGGGAGUACGGCCGCAAGGUUAAAACUCAAAUGAAUUGACGGGGGCCCGCACAAGCGGUGGAGCAUGUGGUUUAAUUCGAUGCAACGCGAAGAACCUUACCUGGUCUUGACAUCCACAGAAGAAUCCAGAGAUGGAUUUGUGCCUUCGGGAACUGUGAGACAGGUGCUGCAUGGCUGUCGUCAGCUCGUGUUGUGAAAUGUUGGGUUAAGUCCCGCAACGAGCGCAACCCUUAUCCUUUGUUGCCAGCGGUCCGGCCGGGAACUCAAAGGAGACUGCCAGUGAUAAACUGGAGGAAGGUGGGGAUGACGUCAAGUCAUCAUGGCCCUUACGACCAGGGCUACACACGUGCUACAAUGGCGCAUACAAAGAGAAGCGACCUCGCGAGAGCAAGCGGACCUCAUAAAGUGCGUCGUAGUCCGGAUUGGAGUCUGCAACUCGACUCCAUGAAGUCGGAAUCGCUAGUAAUCGUGGAUCAGAAUGCCACGGUGAAUACGUUCCCGGGCCUUGUACACACCGCCCGUCACACCAUGGGAGUGGGUUGCAAAAGAAGUAGGUAGCUUAACCUUCGGGAGGGCGCUUACCACUUUGUGAUUCAUGACUGGGGUGAAGUCGUAACAAGGUAACCGUAGGGGAACCUGC
rnacentral:rRNA from 1 species